UGGGGAAUAUUGCACAAUGGAGGGAACUCUGAUGCAGCGACGCCGCGUGAACGAAGAAGGCUUUCGAGUCGUAAAGUUCUUUUAUAUGGGAAGAUAAUGACGGUACCAUAAGAAAAAGCCCCGGCUAACUACGUGCCAGCAGCCGCGGUAAUACGUAGGGGGCUAGCGUUGUCCGGAAUCACUGGGCGUAAAGGGUUCGCAGGCGGAAAUGCAAGUCAGGUGUAAAAGGCAGUAGCUUAACUACUGUAAGUAUUUGAAACUGCAUAUCUUGAGAAGAGUAGAGGUAAGAGGAAUUUUUAGUGUAGCGGUGAAAUGCGUAGAUAUUAAAAAGAAUACCGGUGGCGAAGGCGACUUACUGGGCUCAUUCUGACGCUGAGGAACGAAAGCGUGGGUAGCAAACAGG
rnacentral:rRNA from 1 species